AGCGCUCUGAAUCAGGACACCAGCAGCAGAGAAGGGCCAGUCCACUUGACACCACCAGGCCGUGCCAACCAGCCAAGGCCACAGACAUGCAGUGCCCGCAAGCCAAGUGGGGACAGCAGGCACUCGGGCCAGCGUGUGCAGUCCCACAGUCAGCCCGGCUCACAGCUCCAGUGGUGCGGAGCCCAGAGGUUUCCUUCUGUAAAUGUUCACCUGUAAAAGGUUCUCAUUCCUGAAGCAAGCCCCAAACAAGCACCAGGCCCCAUGGAGCUGUGUGAGACCAUCGGACAUCCUGAAGGCAGGAAGCAAGGGGAGAAUGAGGCCAAAGCAAAGCAGACAGUCCCCAAAACCCAGAGCAACUGUCCUGCCUGAAAUAGUGAAAUCGUAUAUACUCAUUUUUAAA